UGAGGAACAUGACCUUCGGCGGGGGAUAGCCGGCCCAACGGCCGGGUAAUACCGCGUACGACCUUUUGGGGACAUCCCUGAUUGGUGAAAGCAGCAAUGCGCCGAAAGAGUGCCUCGCGGCCUAUCAGCUAGUUGGUGGGGUAAUGGCUCACCAAGGCGACGACGGGUGGCCGGCCUGAGAGGGCGAUCGGCCACACUGGGACUGAGACACGGCCCAGACUCCUACGGGAGCAG
rnacentral:rRNA from 1 species